rnacentral:lncRNA from 1 species
ACGAUGGCGGAAACUGGGUCUCCCAUUCAUAGUCCCAUGGAUUCCGAUCCUCCUCUUUCUAAAGCCGAGAAUCGCAUAUUGGUUGUUGUCGCAAAUGCGCUGGCCCAUAAUAUAAUAAGGAAGAAGAAAUUUGAAGGUUUUUUGAAAGGGUUGAAAUUCAAUUUGUUCUUUUUGUUCCAAUCGAGUAACACUGUUUUUCUGUCACUUUGACCGAUGCUUUAUAUGAAGUUCCCACCUACGGCUACAUGCCUAUUAAGAGCUAGUCGAGCUAACCCCUGCUAGUGAAUCUGCUCGACUCGUGGUAUAGCUCGUCGGUCGAUCGAUCAAAGUAUAGCGUAUUAGCAAGCGUGACGUGCCGGACUGACCCAACACGUCUUUCUUUACCGGCAUGCACAAAGUGCUUUCAGUAGCACUCGCAUCUUAUCACCAAUGGGUUUGGUCUUGGAAUUCAUCUACUGGCAUCGGAGAGAGAAG